AGAUAAAUCUAUAGACAAAAUACAAUCCCGGACAACAAGAAGCUCCUGUAGCUUCUUGUGCUCUAGGAUUGUAUUUUGUUUAUAUAU
rnacentral:pre_miRNA from 13 species